GAUGAACGCUGGCGGUCUGCUUAACACAUGCAAGUCGAACGGGCUCUUCGGAGCUAGUGGCGGACGGGUGAGUAACGCGUGAGAAUCUGCCCUCAGGAUGGGGACAACAGUUGGAAACGACUGCUAAUACCCAAUGUGCCGAGAGGUGAAAUCUAUUUGGCCUGAGGAUGAGCUCGCGUCUGAUUAGCUAGUUGGAGUGGUAACGGCACACCAAGGCGACGAUCAGUAGCUGGUCUGAGAGGAUGAUCAGCCACACUGGGACUGAGACACGGCCCAGACUCCUACGGGAGGCAGCAGUGGGGAAUUUUCCGCAAUGGGCGAAAGCCUGACGGAGCAAGACCGCGUGAGGGAGGAAGGCCUACUGGUUGUAAACCUCUUUUGACCGGGAAGAACACAAUGACGGUACCGGUCGAAUAAGCCUCGGCUAACUCCGUGCCAGCAGCCGCCGUAAU
rnacentral:rRNA from 1 species